GCGGCGUCGGCGGCCGAACCCACUGGGAACUAUAUUUAUAUAGUUUUCACUCUAUGUGGUUUUGGACUACAGGUACACACAGGGGCGAGCCGAGCGAGGAUCGCGGCAAGGGCAUAGCGCCCUAAGUGAGUUAGUUAGUAGCAUUCCGUUGUGCAUUAGAGUACCCUCGUGUACUAGAUACCAUGUAUAUUUUGGAUAGAAAUUGGAGAGCCAUGAUGUAUUUUGGAAAAUAUGUAUUUACAUUUUGGAAGAUGAAAAUGUAAUGUAAUCAAAUGAUGUAACUAUUGAAUGGUUGUAAUAGUUAGACUAUCUCUCUUUAUACACUGGUAUUGUAACAUACCAGAUUUUGGUAUAAAAAUAAAAAUAAAUAAAAAUAGUGUGAGAAACUAUUUUUAUUGGAUUUAUAGAAGUAAAACAUAAGUCAGAAGUGACUUGUGCUGAAAUCGGAAUGAAAACAGAAUAUUUAGAAUUUUCUGUUGGAAACGGGACAGAUAAAUUAGCAGAAAAUGUACAAUCUCAGAAAAUUAUGAAAAUUGGAGGAUAUGUCGGAAAUAUUUUUAUGAUGCUAGAUUUAAAGUUUCAUAUUAUUCUGAUCGGAAAUAUUUUUAUGAUGCUAGAUUUAAAGUUUCAUAUUAUUCUGACACCCGUAGAGUGAGAAAUAAAAUCCAACAGCUAUCUGAUAAAGAUUACAGUUCGGUACAGUUUUCAGUGACCAAACGAGGUCGAAACUGG
rnacentral:lncRNA from 1 species